UACUACAACUCUCUACAAAAUUGUCUAUCUCUUUAGAUUUCACUCUUUUAAUAUCCUCUCUUUCUCUGCUUGCUUUGGUACCGCAAGAGUUCGAGGUGUCAUCUUUGUUUGGGUCAUCACAACCAUGCUCUAUUAUCUAGCAUGGAUGUUGACAACGACCGUGGGUGGAUGGAAUGGUUCGUUGCAGUUGCCACCAAUGAUAUCAUUCCGGCAACGGCUUCAUACUUUCCGGAAUCAUGGACCCGCACUCAAACUCGAUGGGUUCCACCUAGGUUUGAAGGCUUGGACCAGUGGGUCCAAAAUCUUGGACGUCACUACGCCCGAAACCCGCACGUGGAAAGAACUGGCCCUCAAAUACGAGUGGAAUGCCAAAAAUCAUGGUUUACACACGGGCUCAGUUGUCGUCCCCAAGGAGGACGUUUUGGCUGAUCCUGCUGAUGCGACGAGGCUGCUUCAGGAGGCACUUACUUGAAUAGUAGGUCCCUGACCCGAUCUCGUCACCACUCGACCGAGGUUAGGCUUGGCACUUACUGGGUACCAUUGUGGAGUACUCACGCCAUUUCCCACACAUGUUUUUCGUGUGCAAAUCCAGGUUCAGGUUACCAGCCUCAUCACUAGUUGCAGUUGUUGCUGCCUAUUGGAGACUUCAAGGUACAUCUGCCGCGCCCGCAGAUCCUCGGAGUCCCCCUUUUCCUUCUUUCUGUAGAAAUGAUGUAUAGAAUAAUUAAGACUUCUUAGUAGCUUGUGACUUGCGGGUUUCCGGUUUUGGGAAUUGUUUUGUACUUUUCAGAGGUGAUAAUUGUAUAUGCCGAGUGGCAUUAAGUGCUUAUUAGAUAUUUAUUACUGUUAGUAGUUAAUGUUCA